rnacentral:tRNA from 1 species
UUUAAUAUGGCAGAUUAGUGCAAUGAAUUUAAACUUCAUAAAUAAAAUUUAAAUAAUUUUUAUUAAAA